UUGGCUGAUCUGGAUCUUUUCUUCAAAUCUUUUGAACCUUUCUAGAGAUUGAAGAAGAAUAUUUGGAAGAGAUAGAGAUGAGAAAGAAGUAUAAAGAAGAAAUAAUUUUUUCUCUUAUUUUUCUCUCUUCCAAACCCUAGGUCCAAACCCUAGGGUUUCUAGAUUUUGCACUCACCCAAGAGGAGAGGACUCUCCUCUAAUUUUUUCACACCAAGGAACCAUGCCAAAAGCCUUCGCCAUGAAGACCUCUUUCUUCUCUCUCUUACAUGCACAAAAAAAAUAAAACCCCUUUUAUUUUGGCAUGUAAGGAGGUUAGGGUGAAGAGUCUAACAAUGUUUGGACUUUUCCAAAUAUUGUCGCCUCCUCUCACAAUUCCACCAUCCAAAAAAUAUGGGACACCCCAACCAAAAUUUUUUGAUGGUAAAUCAGAUCUUUAUCUGAUUUCCCACAUUGAAAAAUUUCUCCUUUUGUCACACAAAAGAAAGAGAAUAAAGAAAGUGGGCGGCAAGGUAUGGAUAAGGUCAAACCUUAUCCUAUAUGGUAACCAAUUCAAAACAACUUUGAACAUACCAUAAAACACC
rnacentral:lncRNA from 1 species